CCUACGGGUGGCAGCAGUCGAGAAUUUUUCUCAAUGGGGGAAACCCUGAAGGAGCGACGCCGCGUGGAGGAUGAAGGCUUUCGGGUUGUAAACUCCUGUCAUUUGAGAACUAGUAUCAGAAGAGGAAGAGACGGCUAACUCUGUGCCAGCAGCCGCGGUAAUACAGAGGUCUCAAGCGUUGUUCGGAUUCAUUGGGCGUAAAGGGUGCGUAGGUGGCGCGCUAAGUCAGGUGUGAAAUUUCGGAGCUUAACUCCGAAACUGCAUUUGAUACUGGCGUGCUUGAGGACUGGAGAGGAGACUGGAAUUCAUGGUGUAGCAGUGAAAUGCGUAGAGAUCAUGAGGAAGACCAGUGGCGAAGGCGGGUCUCUGGACAGUCCUGACACUGAGGCACGAAGGCCAGGGGAGCAAACGGGAUUAGAUACCCUUGUAGUC
rnacentral:rRNA from 1 species